rnacentral:rRNA from 1 species
CCCUUAGAUGUCCGGGGCCGCACGCGCGCUACAAUGGAUGAAUCAACGCGUCAUCCUGGCCCGAAAGGGUUGGGGAACCGCUGAACCUCAUCCGUGGUUGGGAUUGGGGUUUGUAAUUAUUCCCCAUGAACUAGGAAUUCCCAGUAAGCGCGAGUCAUAAGCUCGCGUUGAUUACGUCCCUGCCCUUUGUACACACCGCCCGUCGCUACUACCGAUUGGAUGGUUAGUGAGAUCCUCGGAUUGGUCACGGCACGGUGGCAACACUGCGUCGGUGUGCCGAGAAGACGAUCAAACUUGAUCAUCUAGAGGAAGUAAAAGUCGUAACA